rnacentral:rRNA from 1 species
AUUGAACGCUGGCGGAAUGCUUUACACAUGCAAGUCGAACGGUAGAGGGGGCAACCCCUCGAGAGUGGCGAACGGGUGAGUAAUAUAUCGGAACGUGCCCAGUCGUGGGGGAUAACGUAGCGAAGGUUACGCUAAUACCGCAUACGAUCUAAGGAUGAAAGCGGGGGAUCGCAAGACCUCGCGCGAUUGGAGCGGCCGAUAUCAGAUUAGGUAGUUGGUGGGGUAAAGGCUCACCAAGCCAACGAUCUGUAGCUGGUCUGAGAGGACGACCAGCCACACUGGAACUGAGACGCGGUCCAGACGCCUACGGGAGGCAGCAGUGGGGAAUUUUGGACAAUGGACGCAAGUCUGAUCCAGCCAUUCCGCGUGCAGGAUGAAGGCCCUCGGGUUGUAAACUGCUUUUGUACGGAACGAAAAGGUCUCUCUUAAUACGGGGGACUCAUGACGGUACCGUAAGAAUAAGCACCGGCUAACUACGUGCCAGCCGCCGCCGUAA